rnacentral:rRNA from 1 species
CUACGGGGUGCUGCAGUCGAGAAUCUUCCGCAAUGGACGAAAGUCUGACGGAGCGACGCCGCGUGCGGGAUGAAGGCCUUCGGGUUGUAAACCGCUGUCAGUGGGGAGGAAAUGCAUCAGGGUUCUCCCUGGUGUUUGACCGAUCCGCAGAGGAAGCGCAGGCUAAGUUGUGCCAGCAGCCGCGGUAACACGAACUGCGCGAACGUUAUUCGGAAUCACUGGGCUUAAAGAGUUCGUAGGCGGCCUUUCCAGUCGGGUGUGAAAUCCCUCGGCUCAACCGAGGAAUUGCGCCUGAUACUGUUGGGCUGGAGGGGGAUAGGGGUGAGCGGAACUGAUGGUGGAGCGGUGAAAUGCGUUGAUAUCAUCAGGAACACCGGUGGCGAAGGCGGCUCACUGGAUCUCUUCUGACGCUGAGGAACGAAAGCUAGGGGAGCGAACGGGAUUAGAUACCCCUGUAGUC